rnacentral:rRNA from 1 species
GCAGCCUGAUGCAGCAACGCCGCGUGAGGGAUGACGGCCUUCGGGUUGUAAACCUCUUUUAGUAGGGAAGAAGCGAAAGUGACGGUACCUGCAGAAAAAGCACCGGCUAACUACGUGCCAGCAGCCGCGGUAAUACGUAGGGUGCAAGCGUUGUCCGGAAUUAUUGGGCGUAAAGAGCUCGUAGGCGGUUUGUCGCGUCUGCUGUGAAAUCCCGAGGCUCAACCUCGGGCCUGCAGUGGGUACGGGCAGACUAGAGUGCGGUAGGGGAGAAUGGAACUCCUGGUGUAGCGGUGGAAUGCGCAGAUAUCAGGAAGAACACCGAUGGCGAAGGCAGUUCUCUGGGCCGUAACUGACGCUGAGGAGCGAAAGCGUGGGGAGCGAACAGGAUUAGAUACCCUGGUAGUCCACGCCGUAAACGUUGGGCGCUAGAUGUGGGGACCAUUCCACGGUUUCCGUGUCGCAGCUAACGCAUUAAGCGCCCCGCCUGGGGAGUACGGCCGCAAGGCUAAAACUCAAAGGAAUUGACGGGGGCCCGCACAAGCGGCGGAGCAUGCGGAUUAAUUCGAUGCAACGCGAAGAACCUUACCAAGGCUUGACAUACACGAGAACGGGCCAGAAAUGGUCAACUCUUUGGACACUC